AAACUUUUAACAACGGAUCUCUUGGCUCUGCCAUCGAUGAAGAACGCAGCGAAAUGCGAUAAGUAAUGUGAAUUGCAGAAUUUAGUGAAUCAUCGAAUCUUUGAACGCACAUUGCGCCCGCCAGUAUUCUGGCGGGCAUGCCUGUUCGAGCGUCAUUU
rnacentral:rRNA from 1 species